AGGAACCCCCGCCCCCUUACCACGUUGGAGGAAAAGGUAACCCCCUGGAAGCAAAGGAGGGGACCCACAGCAGCCCCUCCUCCACGGAGGCAUCCUCCCCUGAGACUCUCUACUGGGGAAAAAAAAAAAAACUUCCAUUUUCCAGGAGUCUUUUUGAUUGCCUGCUCUUUUGAGCUUGGAUUUGACCUCUGAACUGAGCCCAGGAUGCUAACGAGUUUCCAUUUCUGUCUUCCCCACUCCAUGUUGCCCCUUCCCCACACUUUCCACGGAGAAAACUUCUAGAUGGACCCCUUUCUUAAAACACUUCUCUUGUAACGACUGUGCUGAAAGUGAAUGAAUGGGGAUUUCUCUGGUGGUACAGUGGAUACCCUGGUAACUCAGAUGGUAAAGAAUCCUCCUGCAAUGCUGGAGUCCCGGGUUCAAUCUAUGGGUCGGGAAGAUUCCCCUGGAGAAGAAAAUGGCAACCCACUGCAGUAUUCUUGCCUGGAAAAUCCCAUGGACAGAGGAAACUGGCGGGCUACAGUCCAUGGGGUCACAAAGAGUCGGACACAACUGAGCGACUAACACACACAGUGGAUAAGAAUCUGCCUACCAAUGCAGGGUAUACAGGUUCGAUCCCUGGUCCGGGAAGAUUCCACAUGCAGGCAACUGAGCCCCUGGGCUGCAUCUUCUGAGCCCACUCUCUAGAGUCCGUGAGAGACAAGUAAUGAGACUCUGCGGUGCAAAGACUGAGCCUGAGUACUGCACCUACUGAAGCCCGUGUGCCGAAAGCCUGUGCUUUGCAACAAAGGAAGCCAGCACAAUGCGAAGCCGAUGCUCAGCAAGGAACAGCAGCCCACGCUCACCGCAACUAGAGAAAGCCCAGCAGCAGUGAAGACUCGGCACAGCCAAAAAUAAAGAAUGAAUGCGAUUUCCUCGGUGGUCCAGUGGCUAAGACGCCACACUCUCAAUGGAAGGGAGCCCAGGUUUGAUCCCUGAUCAGGGAACUAGAUCCCACCUGCCACGACUGAGACCCAGGGCAGACAUAAACAAAAAAAAAAAGAAUCAAUGGCUUCCAGGUUGAGGCUUAUCCACCAUCACUCCCAGCUCUCCACAAAUCGUCCAUCACCGUGGCAAAGUCUUCUCUACUUCCCUGAAGAUUUUAUUCAUGAACUUUUAAAAAUUAGAAGACAUUAGGGUGAGGACUUCACACGUUGCAUCUCGGAGUGUGUGGCACUGCAGGCCUGGCACUUGAAUGCCUGCUGGAGUCUCUCCUACAACGAAAUCAGAGGUUCCCCUGCACCUAAGAAGCCCAGGGCCUCCUCCCUCCGCUCCCCUCCCCCAGACCAAAGGCUGGUUCUCAGCCAAGCUCUGUCUCUAAGCCAGUUCCUCUCAAACUGGGUGUGGGGAGAUGAAACUGAAAAACACGCCCCUAGGUUCAAGUUGAAGGGCAGGAAGUCUGAUACCCUUAUUAAGUCCUACCAGAACCUGAUCCUGGAGCCAUCUUGCUUCCUCUCCCGAAACAAUGGGAGAAAGGGGGGAAAAUAUCAUGGAAAAAGCCUCCAGGGCCAUGCCUUAGCAAGUCUCUUUUGAAGAGCUCUAUAUUUCAACAGUACCCUGUCGAGUCACUGGUCUCAGCAAUCCCUCUGGGAGGCCGAGCCAGGGGCUGGGAGUUGGAGAGACUGGAGGCGAAGUGAAGACCUAAAAUUAUCCCCAAGGAAAAAGAACCCGUGUCAUCUCCCAGGGACCCGGUGCUCACCCGUGAGCAGGGCUGGCCAGUGGCUCCCAAGCAAAUGCCUUCCGUGCCCAGGCUGCACCCCGGGCAGGCCCAGCCUCUCCCCUCACCCCCCGCACCAGCAGUGCAGGUCCCACUUGGCUGGAGCCUUGAUCUGGGCCUCUUGCUGACCAUCAGGGCAGUCCCUCCCAAUUCAGGUUUUGCAACACCCCAGAGUGUUGCCAGUUAUCUCCAAGGGGUGUCAGAAGAUUCUCAAAGAGUAACCUCUAAAACAAAUCCCAGCCAUUCAGCAAGGUUUGGGGAUUUUUUGGUUUUUGUUUUCAGGACAUCUGAGUUGGUUGGGGGGAAAGGAGAGCGGUGCCAGGAAGUCAAGUCGCUUCAAAGGCUGCCGUGGCUUUAGGGGUGACCUUGUUAAUCUAAGGAAGUGUGUUCCAAUGUUUACGUUUUAAGAAAGACAAGAUUUCCCAAACCACGUGCGUGUGCCUGCCUUUGGGGAAUGAUUAGGCCUAUAGCCAAAGGAGAUUGUGGGGGAGAGGAAUUCUGGCCCCUGUUUUGAAGGCUUUUAGGCACCAGCAGAGAGCAGUGCCCAGCACCUGGAGAGCUUUUCCUCUGCUCUGGCCCAUCCCCCCAAUGUUCUCAGUCUGGCUGGCCCACCCCCCACCCCACCCACCAUCCACCCCUGGCCUUGGGGCACCCCGCAGGGAGGAGUCCAUCUUCCAUCACUUGGGUCUCUUCUUCUUGUGCUUUUGUGUUUCCUCAUUUUAUGUUUUGAAUCCGUAAUACAUUCACGUUAUUCAGCCAUCAAAAUACAAAAAAUCAUAUACUAGACAAUUGCCUUCAUCUCAGUUUUCAACUCCCUAAUAGUAGUCACCAUUAGUCUCCUGUUUAUCUUUCUGCUAAUAUUUUACAUAAGGUCAAUGAAAAAUA